UAAUACGAAGGGUGCAAGCGUUAAUCGGAAUUACUGGGCGUAAAGCGUGCGUAGGCGGUUGGUUAAGUCUGUCGUGAAAGCCCUGGGCUCAACCUGGGAAUGGCGAUGGAAACUGGCCAGCUAGAGUGUGAUAGAGGAUGGCGGAAUUCCCGGUGUAGCGGUGAAAUGCGUAGAGAUCGGGAGGAACAUCCGUGGCGAAGGCGGCCAUCUGGAUCAACACUGACGCUGAGGCACGAAAGCGUGGGGAGCAAACAGGAUUAGAUACCCUGGUAGUCCACGCCCUAAACGAUGCGAACUGGAUGUUGGGCUCAACUCGGAGCUCAGUGUCGAAGCUAACGCGUUAAGUUCGCCGCCUGGGGAGUACGGUCGCAAGACUG
rnacentral:rRNA from 1 species